CUACGGGCGGCAGCAGUGAGGAAUAUUGGUCAAUGGGCGAAAGCCUGAACCAGCCAUGCCGCGUGAAGGAUGACGGCCCUAUGGGUUGUAAACUUCUUUUAUACGGGAAGAAACACCUCUACGUGUAGAGGUUUGACGGUACCGUACGAAUAAGCAUCGGCUAACUCCGUGCCAGCAGCCGCGGUAAUACGGAGGAUGCAAGCGUUAUCCGGAUUUAUUGGGUUUAAAGGGUACGUAGGCGGAAACUUAAGUCAGUAGUGAAAUCCCGCAGCUUAACUGUGGAACUGUUAUUGAUACUGGGUUUCUUGAAUAUUGUUGAGGUAGGCGGAAUAAGUAAUGUAGCGGUGAAAUGCUUAGAUAUUACUUAGAACACCGAUUGCGAAGGCAGCUUACUAAGCAAUUAUUGACGCUGAGGUACGAAAGCGUGGGGAGCGAACAGGAUUAGAUACCCGUGUAGUC
rnacentral:rRNA from 1 species